rnacentral:rRNA from 1 species
ACUGGCGGCGUGCCUAAUACAUGCAAGUCGAACGCACUCUCGUUUAGAUUGAAGGAGCUUGCUCCUGAUUGAUAACAUUUGAGUGAGUGGCGGACGGGUGAGUAACACGUGGGUAACCUGCCCUAAAGUGGGGGAUAACAUUUGGAAACAGAUGCUAAUACCGCAUAAAACCUAACACCGCAUGGUGUAGGGUUGAAAGAUGGUUUCGGCUAUCACUUUAGGAUGGACCCGCGGUGCAUUAGUUAGUUGGUGAGGUAAAGGCUCACCAAGACCGUGAUGCAUAGCCGACCUGAGAGGGUAAUCGGCCACACUGGGACUGAGACACGGCCCCAGACUCCUACGGGAGGCAGCAGUAGGGAAUCUUCCACAAUGGACGAAAGUCUGAUGGAGCAACGCCGCGUGAGUGAAGAAGGUUUUCGGAUCGUAAAACUCUGUUGUUGGAGAAGAAUGUAUCUGAUAGUAACUGAUCAGGUAGUGACGGUAUCCAACCAGAAAGCCACGGCUAACUACGUG